AGAGAAUGGAUAAGCCAUAGGAAUCAACAGGAGUAAGGGGACUAGUAAUAGACUCAGAAGGAUACUAAGAAGAGUUGAUGUUUACUUAAUUAACACCCGCACAAGAGCUCUAUCGUGAAAAGAGAAACACCGGCACAAGAGCAGUGGUUUGCACCAAUCACAAUCAGAAUUCACAAAGAGCAUAGUAAUCCUGCUUUCAAAUAAGAAUGGACCUCACCUCACUGCCAACCUUAGAGUAUCUCGAACAAACCUUAGAGUAUAUAGUACGUGCUCCUUCUCGCCUACCAUGUGCUAUAAAGUAGACAAGAAAGAAAGUGGCAGCAUCGCUCAUUCGCUCGUGCAUCGAAAGUACCUCGGUAAUUAAGUGAGCGGACCCGGGGACACCAAGGAUAUAAACUAACAAUACAUAAUUUAGGGUAUGGGUAUGCUUCGGCAAGGUAAGUUGAUAGGUAUGGUUCGGGAAGGUCGGUAGUAUGUGGUUCGUUAAGGUCAGUUGGGAGUGU
rnacentral:lncRNA from 1 species